rnacentral:rRNA from 1 species
UGCAAGUCUAGGGGGUGUAGCAAUACAUCACCGGCGGACGGGUGCGUAACGCGUGGGAAUAUACCUAUUGGUUCGGAACAACUGAGGGAAACUUCAGCUAAUACCGAAUGUGCCCUUACGGGGAAAGAUUUAUCGCCUAUGGAUUAGCCCGCGUCCGAUUAGCUAGUUGGUGAGGUAACGGCUCACCAAGGCUCCGAUCGGUAGCUGUUCUGAGAGGAAGAUCAGCCACACUGGGACUGAGACACGGCCCAGACUCCUACGGGAGGCAGCAGUUGGGAAUCUUGGACAAUGGGGGAAACCCUGAUCCAGCCAUGCCGCGUGAGUGAUGAAGGCCUUCGGGUUGUAAAACUCUUUCGACGGGGACGAUAAUGACGGUACCCGUAGAAGAAGCUCCGGCUAACUUCGUGCCAGCAGCCGCGGUAAUACGAAGGGGGCUAGCGUUGUUCGGAAUUACUGGGCGUAAAGCGCGCGCAGGCGGUUUUUCAAGUCAGUGGUGAAAGCCCGGAGCUCAACUCCGGAAAUGCCAUUGAAACUGUAAAACUUGAGGAUGAGAGAGGUGAGUGGAAUUCCCAGUGUAGAGGUGAAAUUCGUAGAUAUUGGGAAGAACACCGGUGGCGAAGGCGGCUCACUGGCUCAUAUCUGACGCUCAGCGCGACAGCGUGGGGAUCAAACAGGAUUAGAUACCCUGUAGUCCACGCCGUAAACGAUGAAUGCUAGCCGUUGGGCAGCUUGCUGUUCAGUGGCGCAGCUAACGCAUUAAGCAUUCCGCCUGGGGAGUACGCGCAGGUUGAAACUCAAAGAAUGACGGGGGCCCGCACAAGCGGGGACAUG